AUGGGAUGGGAGAUCGGGUCGCUCUUGUAUAUAAUCGGUUUAGGAACCCAAAGGUGCCUCGUCAUCCUAGUCAACUCCAGUCAACCGCAGUUCCCUUUUUCCUUUCAUCCAUCUCUAAUCGCCAAUAAGUUGCCUGGAUCUACAAUGCACGUACUGGUGGCUGCUGACUGGACCAAAGAAAUUGAUAUCCAGACUCCAAUCUCUAUGAGCAUAUCACGGGCCAUUGGGGUCAUUAGUGGCCUCAAUGAAUGUGUCAAUUUGUUUCAGUGGGCUGGAUCUUCUAUUUCGUAUCUGCGCUCCCGGUGGUCUGGAACACAGGAGGAAAGUAUCCAUCAUGAAGUAUUGCAUUUGCAGAGUGGCUUACAACGUCUUAGGGAUACUCUUCCGGCAAUGUACAGUCUUAUUGACCAAGCAGAGUGGAGGAUCCAUGAAGGCCGUGUCGCGGAGCUCCUUCCCAACCUCAAAGAUGCAGUGAAUGAUGCUGAUGAUCUUCUUGGUGAGUUCAGAUGGCAUGAGCUAAAGAUGGAGGUAGAGGGCAAUGCAAGUCAUUCUGCUUUUAUUGACUUCUACAAGACUACCGUACAAGGCAGCUUCAACAAAGUGAAUGAUAUCCAAGAAAGGUUGAAUAGUAUUUCUGGUCAGCUAGAGAAAAUGGGGCUGUAUGGAGUGACACCAGGGUUCGACAAAUCAGUCAGGCCAGACACUACCCCUUUCCCGAAUGAAAAAAAAAUAUUUGGUCGUGACAAGGAUCUGAAGGAGGUGAUGAGAUUUCUCGGUGUACCUAGUAAAGGAAGGGCCUGUUCAAAACGCAAGAGAGCAAGUAGCGCAGUCAAUGCAUCAACAAGCACACCAGCAUCAAACCAAGUUAGUAAUAAAUCAAUAAUACCAGCUAUUCCUGUUUUGCCAAUAGUUGGAAUGGGGGGCGUUGGAAAGACCACUUUGGCUCAACAUAUAUGCAAUCAUCAACAGGUGAAAGAUUACUUUGAGUUAAUAAUCUGGAUUUGUGCAGAUGACUUUGAUGUAAAGAGAUUAAUUAAAGAUGCCAUACAAUCCGCUUCCGGAAAAAAGACAACACUUGAUCAUUUAGCUUCUCUUCAACAUGCUCUUUCUGGCAGUGUGAGCAAUAAAAAGUUCUUGAUUGUUGUUGAUGACGUGUGGGAUGAUGCCUUGAAGGAAAAUGAGCAGCGUUGGAAGGACUUUUAUGAUUCUUUAACAAACGUGGUACAGGGAAGUAUAAUGUUGGUCACAACAAGAUUUCCAGAUGUUGCUGAUAGAGUGCGCACAAUGGAGCCCUUUCCAUUAGCUGGUUUGAAGGAGGAUGUGUUUUGGGAUUUCUUCAAACUUUGUGCAUUUGGGUCUGAGAGAUCCGAGAAUGAUCCUGAGUUACAGAGGAUUGGAAGAAGCAUAGUUCCAAAGUUGAAGGGUUCUCCUUUGGCCGCCAAAACACUUGGACGCCUGUUAGGAAUGAACCUUCAUACAGCACAUUGGAAUAAUAUACUAGAGAGUGAACUCUGGAAGUUGAAACAAGAGAAGACUGAUAUUUUGCCAGCCCUUCGGUUGAGCUACAUAUAUUUGCCAUUUCACUUGAAGAGAUGCUUCUCAUUCUGUGCUGUGUAUGCCAAAGAUCACAAAUUUGAAAAGGGCCGCUUAGCUGAAAUUUGGGUAGCAGAGGGCUUUGUGGAACCUCAAGGCAACACUCCACUUGAAGAUAUUGGCCAUCAGUACUUUGAGGACCUUGUAAAUAGGUCCUUCUUUCAAAAAGUUCGUGGUACAUACAUUAUCCAUGACUUGCUGCAUGACAUGGCAAAACUAGUGUCAGAUCAUGACUGCUUCACCAUAAGAAAUAUGAGGGACUUCCAAAUGGUUCCCCAGAAUGUUCGUCAUUUGUACAUACUCCCAAGCAGAGACUUGAGCACUCCCGACUUGUUGAGCCUAAGCAAGCACACAAAGCUGCGCACGCUAAUUUGUGACAAGUCGUUUGGAAAUCAAGCUGCAGCUAUAAUGGACCGUUGGUGUAGUGAGCUUCAGCGUUUACGUGUGAUUUUUUGGGCCUCUUCAAAUGAGUUGCCAGACAGUAUUGCCAACUUGAAGCAUCUUCGGUACCUUGAAAUCUCCAAGGCUUGUACUUUCAAGAGUUCUUCAGCAUUCCGUUCCCUCUAUAAUCUGCAGAGGUUGUAUGCGGAGGAGUGCAACAUACAAAGUUUUCCCGAAGACAGUAAGUUGAUAAGUUUACGGGGCUUUAAAUCACGAGUAUUUCAAUAUUAUGCAGGGCUUGAACAGAAGAUUGAUGCAACCAAUCAGAUCCAAAUGGAAAUAUUUAAGAAUUUGAACCAAUUCGAUGAACAUAUAAAUAUAUGGAAUCUUGGUUCUUUGAGCAAGGAUCAUGCAGCAGAAUUCAAACUAAAGGAUGAGAAACAUCUUCGCAGACUGAAACUGCAAUGGUGUUGGCAAUAUCUUACUGUGAAGUGUGAAACAAAAGUGCUUCAAGUCCUACAACCUCCCAGUGGUCUUGAAUCUCUGCUCCUCAAAGAUUGUCCAGAUGUGUCUCUCCCAAACUGGUUUCAGCCGCGUAUGAACCUAAAUGAGACGCCUGCUGUGCUUGUUGACAACAAUAAUGACGAGAUUGGUACUUUGUCGUCCUUGGAAGAGCUAAGCAUUCUUGGGUGUCGAAAUCUACAAAGCGUCCGACAACUUCUGCGUCCAGCUUAUGUGCCUGCCAUAAAGAAAUUAAGGAUUGUUGACUGCAACCAGUUAGAAUCAUUACAAACUGAAACGUUUGGGGAGUUUCGUUCCCUUGAGAUAUUAGACCUGCAUGGUUGUCCAAAUAUCUGCUCGAGAAGUUUGGUGACGCACUCCCUCAAGAAGCUCUUAUUGGGAAGUUCACGGAAUCUCACAGACAAUAUGCAGUGCUGCUCCCUCACGGAGUUCUAUUUAUCAUGUGACUAUGUCACGACCAUCCAACCCCAAAUGUGGAAUCUUCCAGCUCUACAAAAGUUGCAUAUUAAAGACUGCAGAUCUCUUACAUCUGUUGAACAAGGACAACCACCCAUUAGGGCAUUCAAAUCCCUUACAUUCCUAAUCAUUGACAAUUGUGAGAACCUGGCAACCCUUGGUGGUCUCCUAACAGAACAAUGUUUGCCUGCCGUUCGAAAGAUUGAUGUUAGGAGUUGUGGCAAGUUACAGUUCCUUUUUGACCUCGUGUCAAUUGGUGGAGCAAAGGCAGUUGCAAAAUUAAAGAUCUACAAUCUACGUACUGGUGACUUAGUGACCAGCGAGGAGAUCGGGCUGUGCAAGCUAUCUUUCAGUUCGGUUACCUGUGGUGAUGGUCCACAGCGGAAAGAGGAGGCGGGGGCGCACGAGGGCAGCGAGGCGGUGGUCUUGGGCGGCAGUUGGCGGAACCACUCGAAUUCGGCCGGGGAGGCUGCAGCCACAACAUCGCUUGGGGAGGCCAUGGCGCUGGGAGCUCCUGUGGUGGUGGACGGCUCGGCAGCGCUCCGGCUGGUGUUGUGGUGGCUGGCCUGUAGGAGCUCGGAGCCGCGGCCAGAGCUAUUGACGACGGGGAUGUGCUGGAACAGAGAAACUGAUCUCCAGACUCCAAUCUCUAUGAGCAUAUCAAGGGCCAUUGGGGUCAUUAGUGGCCUCAAUGAAUGUGUCAAUUUGUUUCAGUGGGCUGGAUCUUCUAUUUCAUAUCUGCGCUCCCGGUGGUCUGCAACACAGGAGGAAAGUAUUCAUCAUGAAGUAUUGCACUUGCAGAGUGGCUUACAACGUCUUAGAGAUACCCUGCCUGCAAUGUACGGCCUUAUUGACCAAGCAGAGUGGAGGAUCCACGAAGGUCUUGUCUCUGAACUCCUUCCCAGCCUCAAAGAUGCAGUGAAUGAUGCUGAUGACCUUCUUGAUGAGUUCAGAUGGCAUGAGCUAAAGAUGGAGGUGGAGGGCAAUGCAGAUCAUUGUGCUUUUCUUGACUUCUACAACACCACCGUACAAGGAAGCUUCAACAAAGUGAAUGUUAUCCAAGAGAGGAUGAAUAGUAUUUCUGGCCAGCUAGGGAAAAUGAAACUGUAUGGAGUGACACCAGGGUUCGACAAAUCAGUCAGGCCAGACACUACCCCUUUCCCGAAUGAAAAAAACAUAUUUGGUCGUGACGAGGAACUGAAGGAGGUGAUGGGAUUUCUCGGUGUACCUCAAACUCAAAGUAAAGGAAUGACCUGUUCAAAACGCAAGAGAGCAAGUAGCGCAGUCAAUGCAUCAACAAGCACAUCAGCACGGAACCAAGUUAAUGAAUCAAGAAUACCAGCUAUUCCUGUUUUGCCAAUAGUUGGAAUGGGGGGCGUUGGAAAGACCACUUUGGCUCAACAUAUAUGCAAUCAUCAACAGGUGAAAGAUUACUUUGAGUUAAUAAUCUGGAUUUGUGCAGAUGACUUUGAUGUGAAGAGAUUAAUUAAAGAUGCCAUACAAUCCGCUUCCGGAAAAAAGACAAAACUUGAUCAUUUAGCUUCUCUUCAACAUGCUCUUUCUGACAGUGUGAGCAAUAAACGGUUCUUGAUUGUUGUUGAUGACGUGUGGGAUGAUGCCUUGAAGGAAAAUGAGCAGCGUUGGAAAGACUUUUAUGAUUCUUUGACAAACGUGGUACAGGGAAGUAUGAUGUUGGUCACAACAAGAUUUCCAGAUGUUGCUGAUAGAGUGCACACAAUGGAGCCCAUUCCAUUAGCUGGUUUGAAGGAGGAUGUGUUUUGGGAUUUCUUCAAACUUUGUGCAUUUGGGUCUGAGAGUUCCGAGAAUGAUCCCGAGUUAGAGAGGAUUGGAAAAAGCAUAGUUCCAAAGUUGAAGGGUUCUCCUUUGGCCGCCAAAACUCUUGGACGCCUAUUAGGAAAGAACCUUCAUACAACACAUUGGAAUAAUAUACUAGAGAAUGAACUCUGGAAUUUGGAACAAGAGAGGACUGAUAUUUUGCCAGCCCUUCGAUUGAGCUACAUAUAUUUGCCAUUUCACUUGAAGAGAUGCUUCUCAUUCUGUGCUGUAUACGCCAAAGAUCACAGAUUUGAAAAGGGCCGUCUAGCUGAAAUUUGGGUAGCAGAAGGCUUUGUGGAACCUCAAGACCUUGUGUCAAUUGGUGGAGCAAAGGCAGUUGCAAAAUUAAAGGAUAUUCUUCCUGCAAUGUACGGCCUUAUUGACCAAGCAGAGUGGAGGAUCCACGAAGGUCGUGUCUCUGAGCUCCUUCCCAACCUCAAAGAUGCAGUGAAUGAUGCUGAUGACCUUCUUGAUGAGUUCAGAUGGCAUGAGCUAAAGAUGAAGGUGGAGGGCAAUGCAAAUCAUUCUGCUUUUGAUGACUUCUACAACACUACCGUACAAGGAAGCUUCAACAAAGUGAAUGAUAUCCAAGCAAGGUUGAAUAGUAUUUCUGGUCAGCUAGAGAAAAUGGGGUUAUAUGGAGUGACACCAGGGUUCGACAAAUCAGUCAGGCCAGACACUACCCCUUUCCCGAAUGAAAAAAAUAUAUUUGGUCGUGACAAGGAACUGGAGGAGGUGAUGGGAUUUCUUGGUGUACCUCAAAAUAAAGGAUGGGCGUGGUUAAAACGGAAGAGAGAAAGUAGUGCAGUCAAUGCAUCAACAAGCACAUCAGCAUGGAACCAAAUUAGUAAUGAAUCAAGAAUACCAGCUAUUCCUGUUUUGCCAAUAGUUGGAAUGGGGGGCGUUGGAAAGACCACUUUGGCUCAAUAUAUAUGCAAUCAUCAACAGGUGAAAGAUUACUUUGAGUUAAUAAUCUGGAUUUGUGCAGAUGACUUUGAUGUAAAGAGAUUAAUUAAAGAUGCCAUACAAUCCGCUUCCGGAAAAUGGACAAUUCUUGAUCAUUUAGCUUCUCUUCAACAUGCUCUUUCUCACAGUGUGAGCAAUAAAAGGUUCUUGAUUGUUGUUGAUGAUGUGUGGGAUGAUGCCUUGAAGGAAAAUGAGCAGCGUUGGAAAGAUUUCUAUGAUUCUUUAACAAAUGUGGUACAGGGAAGUAUGAUGUUGGUCACAACAAGAUUUCCAGAUGUUGCUGAUAGAGUGCGCACAAUGGAGCCUUUCCCAUUAGAUGGUUUGAAGGAGGAUGUGUUUUGGGAUUUCUUUAAACUUUGUGCGUUUGGGUCUGUGAAUUCCCGGAAUGAUCCUGAGUUAGAGAGGAUUGGAAAAGGCAUAGUUCCAAAGUUGAAGGGUUCUCCUUUGGCCGCCAAAACUCUUGGACGUCUAUUAGGAAUGAACCUUCAUACAACACACUGGAAUAAUAUACUAGAGAGUGAACUCUGGAAGUUGAAACAAGAGAAGACUGAUAUUUUGCUAGCCCUUCGGUUGAGCUACAUAUAUUUGCCAUUCCACUUGAAGAGAUGA
rnacentral:rRNA from 1 species